rnacentral:sRNA from 1 species
UUUUUUUUAAUAGACCAUUUUAUUAAAAUUUUUGCUUCAAAUGAGGUGAAAGUUUUAUA